UACGGAGGAUGCAAGCGUUAUCCGGAAUGAUUGGGCGUAAAGAGUCCGUAGGUGGAACAGCAAGUCUGUGGUUAAAGCGCGAAGCUCAACUUCGUAAAGGCCAUGGAAACUGCUGGUCUAGAGUGGGAUAGGGGUAGAGGGAAUUCUUGGUGUAGCGGUGAAAUGCGUAGAUAUCAAGAAGAACACCGGUGGCGAAAGCGCUCUACUGGAUCUUAACUGACACUGAGGGACGAAAGCUAGGGGAGCGAAAGGG
rnacentral:rRNA from 1 species